AGCGAAGUAGAGCAGUGGUAGCUCGCUGGGCUCAUAUCCCGGAGGUCGCAGGUUCGAAUCCUGCCUUCGCCA
rnacentral:tRNA from 1 species